rnacentral:rRNA from 1 species
CCUACGGGAGGCAGCAGUCGAGAAUCUUUCACAAUGGGCGCAACCCUGAUCCUGCGACGCCGCGUGGGGGAAUGAAGCUCUUCGGAUUGUAAACUCCUUUCAUGCGGGAGUAAAUCACAAAGCUUGUACCACAAGAGGAAUAUACGACUAAUUCUGGGCCAGCAGCCCCGGUAAUACAGAGGACUUAAUCGUUGUUCGGAAUCACUGGGCCUAAAGGGUGCGUAGUCUGUGUGGUAAGUCGUGUGUGAAAGGUGGGGGCUCAACCCGCGGACGGCACAUGAUACAGUGAGACUAGAGUAUAGGAGGGGGAAGCGGAAUGCACGGUGUAGCGGUGAAAUGCGUAGAUAUCGGGAAGAACAC